rnacentral:rRNA from 1 species
CNUGCAGUCGAGCGGUAGAGAGAAGCUUGCUUCUCUUGAGAGCGGCGGACGGGUGAGUAAUGCCUAGGAAUCUGCCUGGUAGUGGGGGAUAACGCUCGGAAACGGACGCUAAUACCGCAUACGUCCUACGGGAGAAAGCAGGGGACCUUCGGGCCUUGCGCUAUCAGAUGAGCCUAGGUCGGAUUAGCUAGUUGGUGAGGUAAUGGCUCACCAAGGCGACGAUCCGUAACUGGUCUGAGAGGAUGAUCAGUCACACUGGAACUGAGACACGGUCCAGACUCCUACGGGAGGCAGCAGUGGGGAAUAUUGGACAAUGGGCGAAAGCCUGAUCCAGCCAUGCCGCGUGUGUGAAGAAGGUCUUCGGAUUGUAAAGCACUUUAAGUUGGGAGGAAGGGCAUUAACCUAAUACGUUGGUGUCUUGACGUUACCGACAGAAUAAGCACCGGCUAACUCUGUGCCAGCAGCCGCGGUAAUACAGAGGGUGCAAGCGUUAAUCGGAAUUACUGGGCGUAAAGCGCGCGUAGGUGGUUUGUUAAGUUGGAUGUGAAAUCCCCGGGCUCAACCUGGGAACUGCAUUCAAAACUGACAAGCUAGAGUAUGGUAGAGGGUGGUGGAAUUUCCUGUGUAGCGGUGAAAUGCGUAGAUAUAGGAAGGAACACCAGUGGCGAAGGCGACCACCUGGACUGAUACUGACACUGAGGUGCGAANGCGUGGGGAGCAAACAGGAUUAGAUACCCUGGUAGUCCACGCCGUAANCGAUGUCAACUAGCCGUUGGGAGCCUUGAGCUCUUAGUGGCGCAGCUAACGCAUUAAGUUGACCGCCUGGGGAGUACGGCCGCAAGGUUAAAACUCAAAUGAAUUGACGGGGNCCCGCACAAGCGGUGGAGCAUGNGGUUUANUUCGAAGCAACGCGAAGAACNUUACCAGGCCUUGACAUCCAAUGAACUUUCC